GGGAGUCAGUGCUGCUGGACCCAUAGGUAGCCUCCAAAAGCAAAGAGAUUCACAGUGUGAGCGAAAUUCAACGUGAGGGGCUUCCUCCGCUGUGAGCUUUGAAAAUGAAGGGGCCAUGUGGCAAAGGAUAUGACGGGCUCCAGGAAUUGAGAACAGCUCCACCCCACCUCCACCUGACAGCUGCCCAGGAACAAGGACUACAAUCCCACAACUGCCUGAAACUGAAUUCUGCCACCAAGCUCUGUAUAAGCUGGAAGGAGGACCCCAGCCUCAAGAUGAGGACACAGCUUCGUGAAAUCCUGAGCUGAGAAUCAUUCACACCAGGCCUGGAUUUCUCAUUAAGGAAAUGUAGAGAAAUAAAUGGGUGCUGUGUAGAGCCAGU
rnacentral:lncRNA from 1 species